GACGAACGCUGGCGGCGUGCUUAACACAUGCAAGUCGAACGCUGAAGCUCAGCUUUUGUUGGGUGGAUGAGUGGCGAACGGGUGAGUAACACGUGAGUAACCUGCCCCCUUCUUUGGGGUAACGCCCGGAAACGGGUGCUAAUACUGGAUAUUCACUGGUCUUCGCAUGGGGGUUGGUGGAAAGGGUUUUUCUGGUGGGGGAUGGGCUCGCGGCCUAUCAGCUUGUUGGUGGGGUGAUGGCCUACCAAGGCUUUGACGGGUAGCCGGCCUGAGAGGGUGACCGGUCACAUUGGGACUGAGAUACGGCCCAGACUCCUACGGGAGGCAGCAGUGGGGAAUAUGGCACAAUGGGCGCAAGCCUGAUGCAGCGACGCCGCGUGAGGGAUGGAGGCCUUCGGGUUGUGAACCUCUUUCGCUCAUGGUCAAGCCGCAACAAUGGUUGUGGUGAGGGUAGUGGGUAAAGAAGCGCCGGCUAACUACGUG
rnacentral:rRNA from 1 species